CAUAUUAUUCUUACCUAAGCCACCAAGGUAGAAUGUGAUGUUGAGUUCUCCCUCAGCAAUGCCCUCUCCUAAGCCAUCAAGACAGAAGGUGGUGUUGGAUAUUUCCCAUACCUAAUCUAGCAAGACACAAAGUGGCAGUGUUAGAUAUUAUUCUCAUACAAGCCACCAAGCCUCUGUGAAUUAAAUCCAGAAUGAAAGCUGGGGCUUUAGCAGAUAUUUUAUUUGUAAUCAUCUUGUCUUUCACUGUCCAUGCAUCAGGUCUCAGGGUGCAUGUGGAGUAUGUGGACAAUCACUUCACCUUGAGGACUCAGCACAUUGUGAGAGAAGCUGUGUUCCAUGUGUCCAGAUUACUUAGUAUUCAAAAUAAGUCAAGGAAUCCAGUAUUUCAUGUCCCAAGGGAAAAGAAUGCCUGUGUUUCUGUUUACUUUGAUGGGCCAAAUAAAGGCAAAUGUGGCCAGAUAUCAAAAAAUUACUUUGGUAUUGAGCAGUGUGGUGAGGCCAAGAUACCAACAGCCCAUCUUGAGGGACUGCAGGUUUUUGGACCUGAAGAAGUGGAGCCCCUCCCCAUAUCACUGCCUCAGGGACAUGGAUUUACAGAUGGUACAAAUUUUGUUGUGUACUUCACCUCCAAGGAAAGCAAGUUGUGUGCCUCCUCCCUUGCCCACUCCCAUGUGUGUCGCAUAGAAGCAUCAAGGGUUGGCGGGGUGCACAGUGGACGGCCAGUUGCUGGAACAAUCAAUGCAUGCUGGAAGGAAGGGGAAACUGAGGACAUUAUGAUAAAGAGAGUUGUCAUUCAUGAACUGAUACAUCUCCUUGGUAUGAACUACAGAAGUAUAAGGGAAUUUAUUGAGUGUGAGGGCAAGGGCAAUACCAGGAUGUGCUGGAAGCUGAAGGAGAGAGUGUUAUGGGUCACCCAGGAUGGAGAGGUUGUAGUGUGGUCAAGGCACUUCAGGAAGGCCAUAAGACAUCAGAAGGAUUGUUUAGAUGGAAGUCAGUGUCAGCCUUCUAGUAACUCUCAAAGUUGUCCUUUUCAGCUCUGUGGCCUAUACAGUGGCAUGGUUCUAGAAAACUUGACAAGAAGUGUGAACAUGUUUGGUGGGGUUAUCCUGGCAAAAUCUCGCACAGGUGUCCACUGGCCUGAAGAACUGUUUGACAGUCCAAUGUCAGUCAUGAUUCCAACAUAUGUGGCAGCUGGGCAUGUGAUUGUUGACCCUCUUACCCUAGCACUCCUUAGAACCUCAGGAUGGUACCAGAUCAACCACACUGCACUGCUCUGCAUGAAUCAUUUCCUCAGUUCUGAUUCACCUAAACUCAACUUGAAGAACUUGAUAGAAAAUAAGAGAGAUUUUAUUUCCCAAAAUGGGACUUUUACAGGAGAGCAAACCACUGCUCAGAACUCACCUUCACAGAGUAAUCCAGUAAAUGUCUCUAAAAAUCAUGAUCCAGUCAGUACCUCAGAGGAUGUAGUCAGGAAUGAGAUCCAAAAUUCCACCACUGGACUCAAUACAUUCAUCUGGGCAAAAAGACCCAGUACUGAUAGAGUGUCUGAGAAUGUGAGGUCUGUUGCAUCAGUGUGUUUUCCUUUGUGCACUGCAGUCAUCAUAUUCCAGAUAGUGCUUCUUUACUCUACAUUGCAGGGUGGUGGCUGGGCCAGGCAGGACGUAGAGCCUUCGCUUCCUCCUCCACCCCAACACUAACUACUGCACAGCCUGCUGAAGCUAGUCAGGCUCCUCAAGAAGCACCUGAGACUGAUUAUGUCUCAGAACAGCUGAAGAAAGCCCUCAAGCAUCCGGAUUAUUUUAAAGUUGCGGAGUUGUUCACUGUGGAAGACUUAUUUAAUGCUCGUGUUCAUCUGGGACACACUGAGGGUUCUCUUGAUGAGCAUAUGAGCCAGUUUGUGUUUGGCUCCAGGCUGGGUCACUUGAUCAUUGACCUUGACCAGACAGCAGUCCUGCUUCGAGAUGCUCUCAACUUUAUUGCACACAUUGCCUUCCGUGGAGGCAUUAUUCUCUUCAUUGGCCGCACUCCCCAGCACCAGCUACUGAUUGAGGACACAGCAAAGGAGUGCGGUGAAUAUGCUCACACCCGCUUCUGGCAGGGUGGUGUGCUCACUAACUCUACUGUCCAGUUUGGAUGUGUGACACGACUGCCGGACCUCAUCAUUGCUCUGCAUACCAUGAAUAACGUCAUUAGCCAACACACUGCCAUAAGAGAUGCAGCAAAGAUGUUAAUCCCUACUGUGGCUGUUGUGGAUACGAACUGUAACCCUAACUUGGUGACAUAUCCCAUCCCUGGCAAUGAUGACAGUGCUGCCUCAGUCCACCUGUAUUGUAAAUUGUUCAAGGCUGCAAUACUUAGAGGAAAAGAAAAGCGUAAGGAAUUACUAAAAUUGUAGCAGUUCUAUUAAAUAUUAAAUUUGUAAAGAUUGGAGAAUUAAAAGGUUAGAUAUACUACUGACAAACAUUGUGCAGUCAAUAUCCUUUACUUCCAGGGUUCUGUCUCAUUGUAUAAUAGUUUGUAUUUGUAAUUUGUAUUGAGAGCACAUCUGUUCAAGUCCUGUAAAUAAAUUUUUUGUUUUGUU